GCUCUGGUGAUUCUGUGCAUAAACCCUGCUGUAUCUGAGUUACUGCAGCUCCAGGCCCUGAAAGAAUCAGAUUUAUAAACACAACACUGUGUUUCUUACCUGUAUUAUGAUGGCAGAACUGGCAUUUAUCUGGACUCUUGGUAGAAAAAGGUUUCCAGCCUCACAAGCAACGCAUGAAAAUACAAAAGCAACUGCUGGAAAUAUUGCCAGGGAAAGGGGUCUUGAAAAACAUCCCAGGGAGCCUCGAGGCUGCAGAGUACAGAACACUUUGGAUCAGACCCUUGGAGAGCACAACCUCUAAAAUAACAAGUUUGAAGAAUUAAAUUGUGUCUUCUUCAAUGUCCUCACGAAAGAGUUAAUCAGCAAGUUCACAUCUCCUGGACUGGAAUUCCCUGGAGCUGGAUAUUCCCCUUGUUCCAGGACUUCAGUGUUUACACAGAGCUGGAAGCUCUGAGCUCAAGGAGAGGUAGAAGUUGUUCAUGCUGGCAGAGCUCAGCCUCACACAGCAGCACCUGGCAGAAAAGGUGACCAUUCCAGGGGAGAAGAAACCAUAGAUUGACAGCAAAUUUGCUGGUUACCAAGCUGGCAGCGCCGUGUCCUUCCGAUGACGGAUCUCUCCGACGCUCUGUUUACCUGCCUUUAAUCUGCUCCAAGGCUAACAGAGGUUUAUUUUUUGUUCUCAUCCACAAGGAAUUCAGGAAUACCCUUCCUGCCACCCCCCACCCACGCAGGGGGAUUUU